CCUACGGGGGACUGCAGUGAGGAAUAUUGGUCAAUGGGCGGGAGCCUGAACCAGCCAAGCCGCGUGAGGGAAGAAGGUACAGCGUAUCGUAAACCUCUUUUGUCAGGGAACAAAGGCGGGGACUAGUCCCCGGAUGAGGGUACCUGAAGAAAACGCAUCGGCUAACUCAGAGCCAGCAGCCGCGGUAAUACGGGGGAUGCGAGCGUUAUCCGGAUUUAUUGGGUUUAAAGGGUGCGCAGACGGCCUGUUACGUCAGCGGUAAAAGCCCGGGGCUCAACCUCGGCGUGCCGUUGAAACUGGGGGUCUGGAGUUGGAGAGAGGUACGCGGAAUGCGCGGUGUAGCGGGGAAAUGCUUAGAUAUCGCGCAGAACCCCGAUUGCGAAGGCAGCGUACCGGCUCCACACUGACGCUGAGGCACGAAAGCGUGGGUAUCGAACAGGAUUAGAUACCCGUGUAGUC
rnacentral:rRNA from 1 species